UACGUAGGGGGCAAGCGUUGUCCGGAUUCAUUGGGCGUAAAGCGCGUGUAGGCGGCCAGGUAGGUCCGCUGUGAAAACCCGAGGCUCAACCUCGGGACGUCGACCCAAACCCCCUGGCUAGAGUCCGGAAGAGGAGAGUGGAAUUCCGUGGUGUAGCGGUGAAAUGCGCAGAUAUCAGGAGGAACACCAAUGGCGAAGGCAGCUCGCUGGAACGGUACUGACGGCUGAGGCGCGAAAGCGUGGGGAGCGAAACAGG
rnacentral:rRNA from 1 species